rnacentral:rRNA from 1 species
UACGUAGGAGGCGAGCGUUGUCCGGAAUCAUUGGGCGUAAAGAGCGCGCAGGCGGCUUGGCAAGUCGGGUGUGAAAUCCCGGGGCUCAACCCCGUGACUGCAUCCGAUACUGUCAGGCUAGAGGUAGGUAGGGGAGAUCGGAAUUCCUGGUGUAGCGGUGAAAUGCGUAGAUAUCUGGAGGAACACCGGUGGCGAAGGCGGCAUCCUGGACCGGCAUUGACGCUGAGGCGCGAAAGCCAGGGGAGCAAACGGG